rnacentral:misc_RNA from 1 species
AUUCUGAAAUCUUUUUUCGACUUGAUAUUACCUCAUUUGACUUUGGGUGUGCGGAUACCAAGGAAGGGGUGGUCAUGAUGUGCAAUAACAGCAAGCGGUGUCUGGACGACUCCUUACGCUGUGAUUUCUGGUUUUCCCGAAACUGUCAAUCGGAGUCUUAUCCCAGGGAUAACUCGGAUACGAGUAGAUGGCCCCCGGGAAACUGCUUCAAGAUAGUUUAAACAACAACUACCGAGCCCCUCCCCACUACUCCCCCUCCUGAGCCUGACUUCACUCCACUGAUUGUUGUCAUAGGACUGGCGGCUGCCCUUGCCUUCUUUUUCUGGUGUUUCUGGAGGCCUGGCUACCUAAUAUGGCGACUCGGUCGACUGCGCAACCAUCCCUGCGUGAGAGCAUGUGGGGCGUGCAUUCCGUGCUCUGUAAUGUGCGUCAGAUGUUGCAGUUGCAGCACCUGCUGUAUAGGUGAAUAUGAACAGAGUCCUACGGGGCCUGCAGCCUUUAGAGCCCUUCAGGUGCAGGAGAUGGAAUCUCAGAACUCUUCUGUAAAAGAGAACAGUCAGCUUAUCGGAGGAAGUUCCCACUCUGGUAAGUCUGGGAAGGAUGCAGGACGUAUUUUGCCAUGCUUUCCAAGGACUUCCGUGCCGGAAAAGCAAGUGGGUAAAGUAAGAUUGAGACAGGCCACGGUUUGUCCUUUACAAACGUCAACAGCGGAACCGGACCAAGGAAACGGGGAACAGGGCGGCUCUGGAACAGAGCCCGGAACAGAAAGUAUUGAAACCAACACCGAGAACCCAAAAAUGGGCGUGUCUGCAGGCAACAUCAACUUCGUCAAUGAUUGGGUGAAAAUGUUAACUGGUGAUGGAUGCCAUCUUAGAGAGCAUCGAUGAGACUUUGUACAGUAUCCGUCACCUAAACAUCGCUGAUUUGAGUGACCAACACUUGUAUUAAAUUCUAAUAUUUCGUCCUUGACCUUACAUAUAAUAACAGUUAUCAUAAAGAU